CACCAUGGGAGUGGGUUGCAAAAGAAGUAGGUAGCUUAACCUUCGGGAGGGCGCUUACCACUUUGUGAUUCAUGACUGGGGUGAAGUCGUAACAAGGUAACCGUAGGGGAACCUGCGGUUGGAUCACCUCCUUACCUUAAAGAAGC
rnacentral:rRNA from 2 species